CGAAUUAGUAUGAGCUAAUUAUAUUCAAAUAUAUAGUUUUAAUUAAGUAUGUUGCAUAAUACUUCCAAGAGGUAUAAUUAGGGGUGACAGGCCUUUCAAAUAUUAGGAUAUCUGGAUGGCACUGAAAAGUAUUUAGUACGAUUUCAAAUAUAAAGUGUUGAGGCUUUAUAUACGCUUAAAUAUCAAUUGUUUUAAUUUUAGGUUUAAUAGUCUAUUUUUACUUAUAUGCUAACAUAUCUCUUUUAUGUAUUAAGUUAUAUAGGUGCCCUUAACUGAAUUUAAAGUAUUAGUAAUAAUGUUACCAUAAGUCUAUUAUUUAGGCAAUUAUAAUGAACUCGGCAACUAUGCUCUCGACUGUUUACCAAAAACAUAGCUAUAUGUAUAUAUAUAUAGUUAUUUCUGCUCAAUGUAACAUUAAUAGCCGCAGUACCCUGACUGUGCAAAGGUAGCAUAAUCAGUUGGCUUAUAAUUGAAGUCUAGUAUGAAUGAAAAUACGGGGGUAUGCUAUCUGAAUAGUUGCGAUUAAAAGUUACUUAAUAAGUGAAAAUUCUUAUUUAAAAAUAAUAGACGAGAAGACCCUAGAAAUUUUGAGUAAACUGUUCUUAAUGGUUUUUGUUGGGGCGACACAGUAGCAGGAAACCUGCUAAGAUUUAUUAGAUUUUCUUAUUAUGAAUAAAUAAAUUACUCUAGGGAUAACAGCAUAAUAUUUAUAAGUUUGUGACCUCGAUGUUGGACUAGGAUACUAUAACCCAGAAGGUUAUUAUUACAGCUCUGUU
rnacentral:rRNA from 1 species